rnacentral:snRNA from 1 species
GAAUCCGGGCUAGAAGCGACGCA